rnacentral:rRNA from 1 species
UCAGUUGACUUAUAAUUGAAGUCUAGUAUGAAUGGGAACACGGGAAUAUUCUGUCUUUAAUAUAUAAAAGAAAUUACUAAUUAAGUGAAAAUUCUUAAAAAUAAGAAAAUAGACGAGAAGACCCUAGAAAUUUUUUAAUUUGAUUUUGUUGGGGCGACAGGGUAACAAAAAACUUACCUAAAGUAAUAGGAAAUUUUUUAGUGGUGUAAUUAAAUUACUCUAGGGAUAACAGCAUAAUAUUUUAAAGGUUGUGACCUCGAUGUUGGACUAGGAAAUACACUACU